rnacentral:tRNA from 2 species
GGGCUCCUAGCUCAACUGGUUAGAGCAAUCGGCUCAUAAUCGAUUGGUUCCGGGUUCGAGUCCCGGGGAGCCCA